rnacentral:lncRNA from 1 species
AGUUUUGAUCGUUUUUGAGCAAUGUAUAUAAAUGUCUACAACUUCAGUAAUUUUCAAAGUCUAAUCUUGCUUAAUUACGUCAUACGUGACGUCACGAAACGUAUCACAAGCGGUACAACUGGCAAACACCGUUUUCACGAAGUGGCCUCUUACGCGCAAAUGUAGUCUGCUAUUGAUAAUUGUACAGGAACCGGCUCCGCGAAGCCUUUGUCACAGAUGCCGGUGCUUCUGGCGGAAUUGUUAGAGGAAUCUGACAGCCCUAGUUUACCAGUAAAAUAGACAGCUGGGAUACGCAAGAGAUGAGGGACCACUAGCACCCCCAGUGGUUGAUGUCCAUGUAGGAGUUUGUGCAGCUGAUGUGGAGAGCUUUUAGCAAAUUGACAAGCAUCUUCACCCUCUGCCCUUGAACUGAUUGCUUUUCCAAUACCAUGGUUUGGAGGUCAGACCAAACGACUGACAGACCGACCGACUGAAUAGCUAAGUCCCCUCAGUCAUCAAAGGAUGGACAAAAAUACAGAAGUUAUUGUUAGGUGGGAUCGUGAUGGAGAGAUCAAUUGUGGCAAGAAACGAGAUCUUCGAUAUAACGGAAGGCUUAGGGUGGGUUCAAGAGUCACUAUGAGCUAGAUGGAUGUGGACUGGACGGGGACUGCAACGCUGACAGGAGACUCUGACUCCGAAUGUGCCUCCAUUUAGAGGUUUUGUGGUCUAGUGGAUAAGUCGUUGGACUGUGGAUCACAGGAUCCAUGGUUCAAGUCCCGCCACAGCAGUAAUGUCUUUUGGCAAGAUAUUAAUCUACAU